UACGUAGGGUGCAAGCGUUGUCCGGAAUUAUUGGGCGUAAAGAGCUUGUAGGCGGUUUGUCGCGUCUGCUGUGAAAUUUCGGGGCUCAACCCCGGACUUGCAGUGGGUACGGGCAGACUAGAGUGUGGUAGGGGAGACUGGAAUUCCUGGUGUAGCGGUGAAAUGCGCAGAUAUCAGGAGGAACACCGGUGGCGAAGGCAGGUCUCUGGGCCAUAACUGACGCUGAGAAGCGAAAGCAUGGGGAGCGAACAGG
rnacentral:rRNA from 1 species